AUACAGAGGGUGCGAGCGUUAAUAGGAAUUACUGGGCGUAAAGCGCGCGUAGGCGGCUUGGUCAGUCGGAUGUGAAAGCCCCGGGCUCAACCUGGGAAUGGCAUUCGAUACUGCCAGGCUAGAGUAUGGGAGAGGGAAGUGGAAUUUCCGGUGUAGCGGUGAAAUGCGUAGAUAUCGGAGGGAACACCAGUGGCGAAGGCGACUUCCUGGCCCAAUACUGACGCUGAGGUGCGAGAGCGUGGGGAGCGAACAGGAUUAGAAACCCUAGUAGUCC
rnacentral:rRNA from 1 species